rnacentral:rRNA from 1 species
AUUGAACGCUGGCGGCAUGCCUUACACAUGCAAGUCGAACGGCAGCACGGGUGCUUGCACCUGGUGGCGAGUGGCGAACGGGUGAGUAAUACAUCGGAACAUGUCCUGUAGUGGGGGAUAGCCCGGCGAAAGCCGGAUUAAUACCGCAUACGAUCCACGGAUGAAAGCGGGGGACCUUCGGGCCUCGCGCUAUAGGGUUGGCCGAUGGCUGAUUAGCUAGUUGGUGGGGUAAAGGCCUACCAAGGCGACGAUCAGUAGCUGGUCUGAGAGGACGACCAGCCACACUGGGACUGAGACACGGCCCAGACUCCUACGGGAGGCAGCAGUGGGGAAUUUUGGACAAUGGGCGAAAGCCUGAUCCAGCAAUGCCGCGUGUGUGAAGAAGGCCUUCGGGUUGUAAAGCACUUUUGUCCGGAAAGAAAUCCUUGACUCUAAUACAGUCGGGGGAUGACGGUACCGGAAGAAUAAGCACCGGCCAACUACGUG